rnacentral:lncRNA from 1 species
AUGUACGUGCGCACGCGCGCGGGUCCACAGGCAGCUGCUCCCCUGCACCCGGCCGGCUCCGGCUCUGCGGAGUCCCACCCCGCCCCUCACCCCGACAGCCGCCAAGUUCGGGGUGCCGGAGGAUCAGAAAAUGUGUUGGAAGAUCCCGGUGGGUGGAUGAGAAGGAGAAAGGCAAGGAUAUUCAGAGCAAAAAAAAAAAAAGUCUUCAGUGCCCGGGAGUCCGGGCUGUGCCACCGCGCGCGCCAGGCGGGCAGCACCUGGGCUGCGGGAGAGGGAGAGAAAAGCGGGGGCCAGCUCUGGAUGCGGGGGCCCCCCGCGGGGCGGGGCGGCGACCUGCGGCCCGCCCCCUCUGACCAACCUCCCGCCCUGCCAUUGGAGGACUCCGGGGGCGGGUCCGAGGGACGCCUGCCUCUCGCCACCGGCCCCCGGCCCGCCCACCUCUUCGCCUCUUUGCGGAGCCUACCAGCGCGGGCCAAGGGGACACCCGGGGCCGCUCACGUGCCCUGGGACGCCGGCGAGGCGAGCCCCCGUCUCUCCGCCCCCGGGCUGGUGACAUCACCUGGGGCGGGGCCCGGGCCGCCACCUCGGUGUCCUGCGGCUCCUGCGGGACGCGGGCGAGGGCCGGCGCGAUGCAGUGGUUCCACGUCACCAGGUGCUGCAGUUGGGACCCCCCUCGCCCGCACCGUCAGUCCCGCCCCCUCCCCUUAUUUCGCUCGGUUCUGUCCUUUUCUCUACGCCUCUCCAAGUGCUGAGCGUGGGGACGGCGAGGUGGGCGCACGAGUGGCACGCCGCCUGGAGAGGCAAACUCGGCGCCACAUCUGCACCCGUUCGCAGUUCUGCUGUUUAUUCGAAAUCCUAACCGGCUGUGGUGUAGUUGUGCAAGAUCUGUGGGGGAAGGGGUUCAUCUUUUUCCUUUUUUUUUUUUUUUUUACGGGUUUAGGUAAUAAAGUGAGCCAAUGCCUUCUUUGGUACUUAGAAAAGAUAAGAUUUAGGCUUUUUUGUUUUGUUUUGUUUUUUGGUGCAUUAAAUGGGAAGAUAAACCAACGCUUCACUGCGUUUGGAAAGGAAAUAUCCCCGUGCACUUUCCAUUCUGAACUCAGGCUGCCCUCGGCCGCCCGCAGCACCGGGCAGGGCGCAGCGGCACGAGCCCCGGGUUGCAGAGCCUGCUGCGCCGGCACGAGGUCUGCGCCCCCGCACCAACAGGCCGUGCAGGUGUGCGCGGGUCUGGGUGUGCGUGUGCGUACGUGA